UGGCAUGAUCACCCUAUGAGGAAGAUCCACACCAGAGUCCUGAAGCUAGGAGUCACAAGUCAUAAAUAUGGCCUCGAUGGAGAUCUUGUGAUGAACAAUCAUUCAUGAUAAAGUAAUAGAUGUGUUCUGAUUCAAUAACGAUCCAUAUGCCUCCUUUAUGAUUUGUACUGCAAUGAGUUUGCUUAUUCCAAUCUAUGGCCGUCAUAGAUUACGUAGGAUGUUCUUGUAAUCGCGGUAACUAGAAUUGCAUACCCAAUCUAUCAUAACCGCUAGAUGUGUGCCUUGCGUUCAUGCCCUUAGAGUUCUUGCACUAAAUGAUAUGAUUGUAACAAGGUCUAUGGCCUAGUAGGGUACGAGUUUUUGGGAGUGAGGCCGGAGGUGGAGAUUUAAUGAUGCUUUGAAUGAGAACCAUGUUUUGCUUGCUAUGCCAGAACUACAAUAUAUGCUUAGUCUAGGCUUUGCUCUAGAUGAGUUACCUUUUGUUCAUAUCUACUCAUAUUUUUUCGUUCAUGUUCACAAUCAUAUUGCAAUUCAAAUCAUAUUUUUUGAUGCUUAGUUAGUUUAGAGCUUGUGAUAAUGUUUCCACUGAUUGAUAAACCUUGGAAAAUACUCCAAGGGAAAAGGAACAAUGAUCUGUGCACUUUGCAGUUCACAAACUGGCGUGCUAACUGCUG
rnacentral:lncRNA from 1 species